GCGGCCCUGAGGCUCCGUUACCUGCGGAGCCUGGGGGCCAUGCGGGGGCUCCCGGUGGACGCCCUGUGCACCCCCCUGGGGCUGCAGGUGGCCGCGCUGCUGCGCUGCUCCGAUAUCAUCGCCUACGCCUUCGAGGUGCCCCUCCCGGCCCCCCCGGAACGAGGGGAUUUGCCCCAAAAUGAGAGGAGGGAAAAUAGCGGCGGAAAGAACCCAGAACAAGGGAAUCUGCCCCAAAACGGGAGUGAAAACGGCAGCAGAGAGGCCCCGGAACAAGGGAAUCUGCCCCAAAGUAGGAGUGAAAGCAGCAGCUGGGCCGUCCUAGAAUAAAAGGAAUUCUCCCCAAAAUUAAAGUGAAAAUGGCAGGAGACCUUCUUCAAAGUAAGAGAAUCCUCCCCAAAUUUUCAAGCUCUCUUCCUGGACUGAAAACGGCAGCAGAGCCUCGCCAGAAGAAAAGAAUCCUCCCCAAAAUAAGAGGAGUGAAAACGGCAGGAGACCUUUCUUGAAAUAUGAGAAACCUUCCCCAAAAUUUCGGGCUCCCCUCAUGGACUGAAAACAGCAGCAGAGCCUCUCCAGAAUGAGGGAAUCCUCCCCAAAAUUUCAAGCUCCCCAUAUCCCCUGGAAACAGCACAGAAUACGGAAAUUCUCCCCAAAACAAGAGGACUGAAAAUUGCAGCAGAGCCUUCCCCAAAACAAGAGAAUCCUCCCCAAAAUCUCCAGCUCUUCCUGGACUGGAUGCGGCUGCAGAUGCCGCCCCCCCCCGCACCCCCGGAGCGAGGGAAUUUGCCCCAAAAUGAGAGGAGCGAAAAUGGCGGCGGAGAUACCCCAGAAUGAGGGAAUCUGCCCCAAAACGGGAGUGAAAACGGCAGCAGAGAGACCCCAGAAUAGAGGAAUUCUCCCCAAAAUAAGAGGAGUGAAAACAGCAGCGGGGCUGCCCCAGAAUAAAGGAAUUCUCCCCAAAAUUUUGAGCUCCCCU
rnacentral:lncRNA from 1 species